GACGAACGCUGGCGGCGUGCUUAACACAUGCAAGUCGAACGGAAAGACCCUGCUUUUGUGGGGUGCUCGAGUGGCGAACGGGUGAGUAACACGUGAGUAACCUGCCCUUGACUUUGGGAUAACUUCAGGAAACUGGGGCUAAUACCGGAUAGGAGCUCCUGCUGCAUGGUGGGGGUUGGAAAGUUUCGGCGGUUGGGGAUGGACUCGCGGCUUAUCAGCUUGUUGGUGGGGUAGUGGCUUAACAAGGCUUUGACGGGUAGCCGGCCUGAGAGGGUGACCGGCCACAUUGGGACUGAGAUACGGCCCAGACUCCUACGGGAGGCAGCAGUGGGGAAUAUUGCACAAUGGGCGGAAGCCUGAUGCAGCAACGCCGCGUGCGGGAUGACGGCCUUCGGGUUGUAAACCGCUUUCGCCUGUGACGAAGCGUUAGUGACGGUAACGGGUAAAGAAGCACCGGCUAACUACGUG
rnacentral:rRNA from 1 species